rnacentral:rRNA from 1 species
UACGAAGGGGGCUAGCGUUGUUCGGAUUUACUGGGCGUAAAGCGCGUGUAGGCGGGUCGUUAAGUUGGGGGUGAAAUCCCGGAGUUCAACUCCGGAACUGCCUCCAAAACUGGCGACCUGGAGCAGAGGAGAGGCGAGUGGAAUUCCGAGUGUAGAGGUGAAAUUCGUAGAUAUUCGGAGGAAUACCAGUGGCGAAGGCGGCUCGCUGGACUCUUGCUGACGCUGAGGCGCGAAAGCGUGGGGAGCAAACAAG